GAUGAACGCUGGCGGCGUGCCUAAUACAUGCAAGUCGAGCGAACGGACGAGAAGCUUGCUUCUCUGAUGUUAGCGGCGGACGGGUGAGUAACACGUGGAUAACCUACCUAUAAGACUGGGAUAACUUCGGGAAACCGGAGCUAAUACCGGAUAAUAUUUUGAACCGCAGGGUUCAAAAGUGAAAGACGGUCUUGCGGUCACGUAUAGAUGGAUCCGCGCUGCAUUAGCUAGUUGGUAAGGUAACGGCUUACCAAGGCAACGAUGCAUAGCCGACCUGAGAGGGUGAUCGGCCACACUGGAGCUGAGACACGGUCCAGACUCCUACGGGAGGCCGCAGUAGGGAAUCUUCCGCAAUGGGCGAAAGCCUGACGGAGCAACGCCGCGUGAGUGAUGAAGGUCUUCCGAUCGUAAAACUCUGUUAUUAGGGAUGAACAUAUGUGUAAGUAACUGUGCCCAUCUUGACGGUACCUAAUCAGAAAGCCACGGCUAACUACGUG
rnacentral:rRNA from 1 species